AUUGAACGCUGGCGGCAGGCCUAACACAUGCAAGUCGAACGAGUGGCGGACGGGUGGGUAAUGUCUGGGAAACUGCCUGAUGGAGGGGGAUAACUACUGGACACGGUAGCUAAUACCGCAUACCAUCAGAUGUGCCCCGCUGGGAUUAGCUUGUUGGUGGGGUAAAGGCUCACCAAGGCGACGAUCCCUAGCUGGUCUGAGAGGAUGACCAGCAACACUGGAACUGAGACACGGUCCAGAGUCCUACGGUAGGCAGCAGUGGGGAAUAUUGGACAAUGGGCGAAAGCAUGAUGCAGCCAUGCCGCGUGUAUGAAGAAGGCCUUCGGGUUGUAAAGUACUUUCAGCGGGGAGGCGUUACCCGCAGAAGAAGCACCGGCUAACUCCGUGCCAGCAGCCGCGGUAAUUC
rnacentral:rRNA from 1 species